rnacentral:rRNA from 1 species
UAACGAAUAUUGGGCAAUGGGCGAAAGCCUGACCCAGCAAUGCCGCGUGCAGGACGAAGUCCUUCGGGAUGUAAACUGCUGUCAGGGGUCCGCAAGCGAAGGGGUCCAACAGGCCCUGGCGUUGAGCAGCCCCAGAGGACGCCUCGACUAACUCUGUGCCAGCAGUCGCGGUCAGACAGAGGAGGCAAGCGUUGUUCGGAAUCACUGGGCUUAACGCGCGUGUAGGCGGCUUAGAAGGUGUCGUGUGACAUCCCGCGGCUCAACCGCGGAACUGCACGG